rnacentral:rRNA from 1 species
GACGAACGCUGGCGGCGUGCUUAACACAUGCAAGUCGAACGGAAAGGCCCUGCUUUUGUGGGGUGCUCGAGUGGCGAACGGGUGAGUAACACGUGAGUAACCUGCCCUUGACUUUGGGAUAACUUCAGGAAACUGGGGCUAAUACCGGAUAGGAGCUCCUGCUGCAUGGUGGGGGUUGGAAAGUUUCGGCGGUUGGGGAUGGACUCGCGGCUUAUCAGCUUGUUGGUGGGGUAGUGGCUUACCAAGGCUUUGACGGGUAGCCGGCCUGAGAGGGUGACCGGCAACAUUGGGACUGAGAUACGGCCCAGACUCCUACGGGAGGCAGCAGUGGGGAAUAUUGCACAAUGGGCGGAAGCCUGAUGCAGCAACGCCGCGUGCGGGAUGACGGCCUUCGGGUUGUAAACCGCUUUCGCCUGUGACGAAGCGUGAGUGACGGUAAGGGGUAAAGAAGCACCGGCUAACUACGUGC